rnacentral:rRNA from 1 species
AUGAGUAUGAUCACUUUGGUAUCGUUCUCGGUUCUGUUUAAUGGGGAGAGAUUGGAGAGCUUCUCACCAUCCAGAGGUAUUAGGCAGGGAGAUCCUAUUUCCCCUUACUUGUUCUUGAUCGCAGUGGAGGGCCUUUCGUGCCUCUUAAAACACAGUUCUCGGUCAUUAGUGCUCGGUGGCAUAAAGGUGGCACCCACGGCUCCGGCAGUGAAUCACCUUUUGUUUGCAGAUGACAGCCUGCUGCUUUUCAAGUCUAGCAUCCAAGGGGCAAAUGAGGUAUCAAACCUACUCGAUACUUAUUGCUUGGCUUCAGGGCAAAGAGUAAACCAUGAUAAAUCAUCGAUCUUUUUCAGUAAAGGGUGCCCAGAGACACUUAGAGGGGACAUUAAGAAUAUACUCAGUGUGCAGAAUGAGUCUCUUAGUGAGAAGUACUUGGGCAUGCCAACAGAUGUGGGACAGUCAAAGAAUGGCACUUUCAAAUACUUACGAGACAGAGUUUGGGAAAGGAUAAAAGGAUGGAUGGAGAAACUCUUAUCUGUUGCCGGAAAGGAGGUUCUAAUAAAGUCCAUGGCCCAAGCAAUACUAGUUUUUUCGAUGUCGUGUUUCAGGCUUCCGAGGGGCCUUUGUGAUAGCAUCACUUCCCUUAUCCGCCAGUUUUGGUGGGGAAGCAAGAGGGGAAAGAGGAAACCUUGUUGGGUUGCAUGGGAUUUGAUGACACGAUCAAAAAGUUUGGGAGGAUUGGGAUUUAGGGAUAUCGAGAUAUUCAACUUGGCACUUCUGUCCAGACAAGUUUGGCGACUUUUGAAUGAUCUGUCCUCAUUGAGUGCACAAAUCCUUAAAGCUGUUUAUUUCCCACAAGGCUCUGUUCUAGACGCUCAAUUAGGCCCGCAUCCCUCACAAAUCUGGUGCUCUAUACUUGAUGGGAGGGAUGUAAUCAUCAAUGGGGCCAUCAGAAGGAUUGGGGAUGGAGCCUCCACGCACAUAUGGAAUCAUAGCUGGAUUCCUCGGAAUGGAAUGAUGUGGCCGAUUACAUCUCUGGUGGAUGUUCCUCCACAGAUGGUGUCAGAGUUAAUUGAUCACACUUCGGCUGAAUGGAGGGAGGACGUGGUCAGGCAGGUUUUUAUACCACUAGAUGCUGAGGCUAUUUUACAGAUUCCAUUGUGCACUCGGCAGGUGGACGAAUUUUGGGCAUGGCAUAAUGACCCCAAGGGACGUUUCUCUCUACGGUCUGCUUACCGGAUGAUUGUCAGCAUCAAGCUUGGGCGCGAGGCAUGGCUAGAAGAACGGGAGGAUCCUUCAAACUCUGCAGCUGAAUUACGGGGGUGGAACUCCAUUUGGAAAGUGGUAGUACCACCAAAGUUGAGAGUCUUCACAUGGCGACUGGCGCACCACUCGCUCCCGACGGGUGACGUUCUAAACCACCGGAACAUGGCAACCUCGAGUGUUUGCCCACUAUGA